CGUUAUGGCGGCUGUGCGUGGGAGACCUUAGGGUCUGCCGGGUUUCCGUUUCCCGGGUUCCAGCCUGCGUACAGCUGCCACCCUU
rnacentral:antisense_RNA from 1 species